GACGAACGCUGGCGGCGUGCUUAACACAUGCAAGUCGAACGAGUGGCGAACGGGUGAGUAAUACGUGAGUAACCUGCCCUCUUUUUGGGAUAAGCCUUGGAAACGGGGUCUAAUACCGGAUCCAGGGGGAUGGGCUCGCGGCCUAUUAGCUUGUUGGUGGGGUGAUGGCCUACCAAGGGGGUGACGGGUAGCCGGCCUGAGAGCGUGACCGGACACAGUGGUACUGAGAUACGGCGUAGACUCCUAAGGGAGGCAGAAGUGGGGGGUAUUGGACAAUGGGCGAAAGCCUGAUGCAGCGACGCCGAGUGGGUGAUGAAGGCUGUCGGGUUGUAAACCUCUUUCGCUAGCGAACGGGUAGGUGGAGAAUAAGCGCCGGCUAACUACGUGCCAGCCGCCGCGGUAAUAC
rnacentral:rRNA from 1 species